UACGUAGGGGGCUAGCGUUGUCCGGAAUCAUUGGGCGUAAAGCGCGUGUAGGCGGCCCGGUAAGUCCGCUGUGAAAGUCCAGGGCUCAACCCUGGGAUGCCGGUGGAUACUGUCGGGCUCGAGUCCGGAAGAGGAGAGUGGAAUUCCUGGUGUAGCGGUGAAAUGCGCAGAUAUCAGGAGGAACACCCGUGGCGAAAGCGGCUCUCUGGGACGGUACUGACGCUGAGACGCGAAAGCGUGGGGAGCAAACAGG
rnacentral:rRNA from 1 species